rnacentral:siRNA from 1 species
UCCACUUGGCCGGCUGAGUUUGC